rnacentral:rRNA from 1 species
GACGAAGGUGGCGAGCGUUGUUCGGAAUCACUGGGCGUAAAGGGCGCGUAGGCGGCCUGGUAAGUAGGGGGUGAAAUCCUGCGGCUUAACCGCAGGGCUGCCUUCUAAACUGUCAGGCUCGAGCACGGUAGAGGCAGAUGGAAUUCCCGGUGUAGCGGUGGAAUGCGUAGAGAUCGGGAAGAACAUCAGUGGCGAAGGCGGUCUGCUGGGCCGUUGCUGACGCUGAAGCGCGACAGCGUGGGGAGCAAACAGG